rnacentral:lncRNA from 1 species
AUGACAACACAACUCAGGGCUAUUUAUGUCUGCCUCUUACAUGUCCCUCUGUGCCAUUACCCCAAGGCUGAGGUGUGCUGGCGCUGUAGGGAUCCUGACUAUACCAUCAUUCCCUCGGAAACCAACAGGCCGACAUGCUGCACAGGCCAGGCCCACUGCAACCCGACCCAUGAGACCCAUGCUUUUCCCAGGCUACCUCCCUGCCCCUGGAGUUACAGGUUUGGAAUAUUCUGCAUGGACAGGGAGCUGGUGGCUGACAAUGAAUGGUUUUGCAGAGGUCUUCAGAGGCCUCAGUGGCUGACUUUCUGUGUGCCCGACCAGGUAAAUCUGUAUACCUUGACCAUCCUGCGUGUGUGUGGGGCGAGGGGCAGGGCCAGUAAUAUUAUAUUAAGGGAAAGAAGAAGCCCCUCCAGGAAAUGA